rnacentral:lncRNA from 1 species
CUUAGUAGACUCGGGCAGGAUUGAUUUGGGCCAGGUUUCAACCAACUCCCUCAGUCUUCCUGAUGUGGCUAGCGGCUCGGUGCCCGAAGUGGAGUACAGCUCUUCCUUUGGAGUGCUACACGCCCAAGAACUUCCAGCUAGUGGCAGGCUGUAUGCAUCUACUGAUCUGCCUCCAGCGGCCAGCACUCUCUUUAGCGCGACCACUGCGGGUCAUUUGCUGCCGCCCGAUGCCCUAGCAGAGUCCACUGUGUAGUCGAUAUCUUCCACGGCGUCCCCCAAUAUUCAGAAGAUCCGCAGGGUUGAAGUGGAGAGGAUUGGAGCGGAUGGGCGCAUAGGUGAACUGGACCAGAACGAAAUUCCCCUGGCUACUAGCCAGGGCUACUUGCUGCCCCCCGAUCUUUCACAAGCCAAGUAUAUCGCUCCAGCGCUGGAAAGGCAGGGCGUCGACCCUUCCCAAGUUACUCUGGCCCAAGUACCUCUGUCGCAAG